GCUCGUGUCCCGGGGCCGUCGAGGCAAGAGUGCAGGCUGGAGCAGCCGGCCGCGUGCAGAGGACACGCAAGCUGGAGGCCCACGGGGCCCACGUCAGCUUUGCACGGAUGAGAAACAACCCUCCCUCGUGUGAUCCAGGGGUUCAGUUUUCAAUCUCAGCAUCUCCUCAUCUCCCCCAGUUAACGUGCCUGGAAGACGGAGCAGAAGGCUGUGCUGAGAGGACUUUUAAAGCUAACGCGCGCGGCGUCAUGAAAUGGCGGCUGGCAGCUGGCCUCUUUGGGUCCCGCCUGCAGACUCCCCGAAGCCUGGGCUCUUUCACCCCAGCACAGCCGGUGGCAGAAACCCGCCCCCCGCAAGGCCACAACCGCCAGCUCCAGAGAUAGCUCCAAGCACACCUGCUUGAGCGGCGAGUGAGGAGCCCCUGAGGCAGAGGGCCUGUGAUUAGGGGUGAGAAAUGAGCUGGGCUCCCCUCGCUACAGUGCAGGCUUUCUGACCCAGCAGGCCGGGUCAAGGAGGAGUCCUGGAGCCCUCGGUGGCUUCUCAGCCUUUUACUGGGAUUCACCAGCAGGUGGAAUUCGUUAAAACUCCUCCACGAGAGGAUCCCGGGGCUGGUGCCGGUUUCCUCUCCAGCCCGCGGCCGGAACCAGGUGCAGAGGACUCCCUCACUCAGGAAGCCUGGGCGCCCGCCCUGACUUGCUGGGAACUUGAGGGAACUGAUGGCUGCUCGGCCCCCCACCCUACCCCACAAAGCCAUCACCUGUGGACUCAGGCAUCCGUGCCAAGGGGCUAGGACAGAGUAGGAGCAGAGGAAGCUGUGAGAUGGGACUGUUUCAAGAAAGGCAAACCUGGGCCUCCCUGGUGGCGCAAGGGGUUGAGAUGCAGCCUAUGAAGCUACCCACAGCCACUGCAGCACGAGUUGGAUCCCCGGCCAGGGAGCUACCCACAUGGCGCAGCAGACCUAUCCUGUCGCGCCCGCUGCUCCUCUCAGCAGUGUGUUUCAGGCAAUCUGCCUCUUCUGUUCCCCUCUUUGUCUCUGGUGAAUCCUCUCACCACCCCCAACUUUGGCCUGUACCCCCAGUUCUU